GACGAACGCUGGCGGCGUGCCUAACACAUGCAAGUCGAGCGGGAACCUCGGGUGGGGUAACCCAUCCGAGGGGAGAGCGGCGAACGGGUGAGUAACACGUGGGCAACCUGCCCCAGACACCGGGAUAACCCAGGGAAACCUGGGCUAAUACCGGAUACUCCGGCGCGAUCGCAUGGUCGUGCCGGGAAAGCUCCGACGGUCCGGGAGGGGCCCGCGGCCUAUCAGCUUGUUGGCGGGGUCACGGCCCACCAAGGCGACGACGGGUAGCUGGUCUGAGAGGACGACCAGCCACACUGGGACUGAGACACGGCCCAGACUCCUACGGGAGGCAGCAGUGGGGAAUAUUGCGCCAAUGCGCGAAAGCGUGACGCAGCGACGCCGCGUGGGGGACGAAGGCCCUCGGGUCGUAAACCCCUUUCGCCAGGGACGAAGCGCAAGUGACGGUACCUGGAGAAGAAGUCCCGGCUAACUACGUGCCAGCCGCCGCGGUAACAC
rnacentral:rRNA from 1 species